ensembl:misc_RNA Metazoa_SRP Metazoan signal recognition particle RNA
GCCAGGUGUGGUGGUGCACACCUGUAAUCCCAGCUACUCAGGAGGCUGAGGCAGGAGAAUAGCUUGAACCCAGGAGGUUGCAGUGAGUGGAGAUUGCGCCGCUGCACUCCAGCCUGGGUGACAGAGUGAGACUCUGUCUCAA